rfam:Hordeum vulgare subsp. vulgare, WGS project CAJW01000000 data, contig: morex_contig_2538744
UCGUGAGACAGUUCGGUCCAUAUCCGAUGUGGGCGUUAGAGCAUUGAGAGGACCUUUCCCUAGUACGAGAGGACCGGGAAGGACGCACCUCUGGUGUACCAGUUAUCGUGCCUACGGUAAACGCUGGGUAGCCAAGUGCGGAGAGGAUAACUGCUGAAAGCAUAUAAGUAGUAAGCCCACCCCACGAUGAGUGCUCUCUCCUCCG